rnacentral:snRNA from 1 species
UUCUAGUUUUAUAUUCAAUCAUA